GACGAACGCUGGGCGGCGUGCCUAAUACAUGCAAGUCGAGCGAGCGGAACCAACAGAUUUACUUCGGUAAUGACGUUGGGAAAGCGAGCGGCGGAUGGGUGAGUAACACGUGGGUAACCUGCCUUAUAGUGGGGGAUAGCCUUUCGAAAGGAAGAUUAAUACCGCAUAAUAUUGUAGUUUCGCAUGAAACAACAAUUAAAGAUUUAUUGCUAUAAGAUGGACCCGCGGCGCAUUAGCUAGUUGGUGGGGUAACGGCCUACCAAGGCGACGAUGCGUAGCCGACCUGAGAGGGUGAUCGGCCACAUUGGGACUGAGACACGGCCCAGACUCCUACGGGAGGCAGCAGUGGGGAAUAUUGCACAAUGGGGGAAACCCUGAUGCAGCAACGCCGCGUGAGUGAUGACGGUCUUCGGAUUGUAAAGCUCUGUCUUUAGGGACGAUAAUGACGGUACCUAAGGAGGAAGCCACGGCUAACUACGUG
rnacentral:rRNA from 1 species